rnacentral:rRNA from 1 species
CCUACGGGGGGCAGCAGUGAGGAAUAUUGGUCAAUGGACGAGAGUCUGAACCAGCCAAGUAGCGUGAAGGAUGACUGCCCUAUGGGUUGUAAACUUCUUUUAUAUGGGAAUAAAAUGUUCCACGUGUGGCAUUUUGUAUGUACCAUAUGAAUAAGGAUCGGCUAACUCCGUGCCAGCAGCCGCGGUAAUACGGAGGAUCCGAGCGUUAUCCGGAUUUAUUGGGUUUAAAGGGUGCGUAGGGGGAUUGUUAAGUCAGUUGUGAAAGUUUGCGGCUCAACCGUAAAAUUGCAGUUGAAACUGGCAGUCUUGAGUACAGGAGAGGUAGGCGGAAUGCGGGGUGUAGCGGUGAAAUGCUUAGAUAUCGCGAAGAACUCCGAUUGCGAAGGCAGCUCACUGGACUGCAACUGACACUGAGGCUCGAAAGUGUGGGUAUCAAACAGGAUUAGAUACCCUUGUAGUC